rnacentral:tRNA from 1 species
CAAGGCGUAGCAUAAACAAAGCAUUCAGCUUACACCUGAAAGAUAUCUGCCACAUACCAGAUCGCCUUGA